rnacentral:rRNA from 1 species
CGCAGUAACGAUGUCGACUUGGAGGGUGUGCCCGUGAGGCGUGGCUUCUGGAGCUAACGCGUUAAGUCGACCGCCUGGGGAGUACGGCCGCAAGGUUAAAACUCAAAUGAAUUGACGGGGGCCCGCACAAGCGGUGGAGCAUGUGGUUUAAUUCGAUGCAACGCGAAGAACCUUACCUACUCUUGACAUCCAGAGAACUUUCCAGAGAUGGAUUGGUGCCUUCGGGAACUCUGAGACAGGUGCUGCAUGGCUGUCGUCAGCUCGUGUUGUGAAAUGUUGGGUUAAGUCCCGCAACGAGCGCAACCCUUAUCCUUUGUUGCCAGCGGUUCGGCCGGGAACUCAAAGGAGACUGCCAGUGAUAAACUGGAGGAAGGUGGGGAUGACGUCAAGUCAUCAUGGCCCUUACGAGUAGGGCUACACACGUGCUACAAUGGCGCAUACAAAGAGAAGCGACCUCGCGAGAGCAAGCGGACCUCAUAAAGUGCGUCGUAGUCCGGAUUGGAGUCUGCAACUCGACUCCAUGAAGUCGGAAUCGCUAGUAAUCGUAGAUCAGAAUGCUACGGUGAAUACGUUCCCGG